CCAGAAUUUUUUUUUUAAGUUUCCAACACGUCCACUGAGAAAGUUUUACUUCUUCCUUAUAUGACUUUAGAAUAAUGACUCCUUUAAAAAGGUGGGUGGAGGGAGAGGCCAAUUCUGAAAUCAUCACCUGUUAGCAUAUCAAUUUAAAUCAAUAGCCAAUUGAAGGAAACUCACAUUGGAGGAAGGACAUUUAGUAUUUCUGGAAAUCUAAAUUAAUAUUAUGUCAAGUCCUGGUAGCAUUUUUUUCAAAUGACUAUAAUUAGAGAUAUGCAAAUUUUUCAUGGGGGGGAA